rnacentral:rRNA from 1 species
CCUACGGGUGGCAGCAGUGAGGAAUAUUGGUCAAUGGGCGGAAGCCUGAACCAGCCAAGUCGCGUGAGGGAUUAAGGCCCUGCGGGUCGUAAACCUCUUUUGCCGGGGAGCAGAGGUCCGGACGUGUCCGGGCCGGGAGAGUACCCGGAGAAAAAGCAUCGGCCAAUCCCGUGCCAGCAGCAGCGGUAAAACGGAGGAUGCGGCCGUUAUCCGGUUUUAUUGGGUUUAAGGGGUGCGUAGGCGGGCUUUUAAGCCGGCGGUAAAAGGGCGGGGCUCAACCCCGGCCUGCCGUCGAAACUGGGUGCCUUGAGUGGGCGAGAAGUAUGCGGAAUGCGUGGUGUAGCGGUGAAAUGCAUAGAUAUCACGCAGAACCCCGAUUGCGAAGGCAGCAUACCGGCGCCCUACUGACGCUGAGGCACGAAAGUGCGGGUAUCGAACAGGAUUAGAUACCCCAGUAGUC